AUUGAACGCUGGCGGAAUGCUUUACACAUGCAAGUCGAGCGGCAGCGCGGCCUUCGGGCUGGCGGCGAGCGGCGAACGGGUGAGUAAUGCAUCGGAACAUGCCCAGUCGUGGGGGAUAACACUUCGAAAGAAGUGCUAAUACCGCAUACGUCCUGAGGGGGAAAGCGGGGGAUCGCAAGACCUCGCGCGAUUGGAGUGGCCGAUGUCAGAUUAGCUAGUUGGUGGGGUAAAGGCCUACCAAGGCGACGAUCUGUAGCUGGUCUGAGAGGAUGAUCAGCCACACUGGGACUGAGACACGGCCCAGACUCCUACGGGGGGCAGCAGUGGGGAAUUUUGGACAAUGGGGGCAACCCUGAUCCAGCCAUUCCGCGUGAGUGAAGAAGGCCUUCGGGUUGUAAAGCUCUUUCGGCAGGAACGAAACGGUGGGCUCUAACAUAGUCCGCUAAUGACGGUACCUGAAGAAGAAGCACCGGCUAACUACGUG
rnacentral:rRNA from 1 species